GUGACCACAUCCCCGGCGCAGAAAACAAAGUGUUUGUUCAACAGUUUUCUCUGCUUUCGUCUUUGAGCCGAGAAGCCAACAAGCCCCUGAGGAAACCACAGGUCGGCUGAGCUGAUGCGCGCUUAGGGGUGACUGGUAGGCAGAAUCAGGAAAUGAACCGCAUCCAGACGCAGCUAAAAAUACUUCAGCGCUUUCCACCGGCCCCACAGACAGAAAUGCCAUCUGUGGAUUCUAAGCUCGCAGGCUUCUGGAACCUUGGAACACUGGGGAGACUUAAUUAUAACAGAAUUUUUCCAUAUACCAGACUAAUGCAGGAAUAGAGUAUGGGUAAAUGAGAACACCAAAGCUCCUGGAGUGUGACCUUUUGGACUACAUCCUUGGCACAGACGCAAAGCUUGUUAAAGCUAAUACCUUGUUUAAUGGAACCUUGAAGAUCAAAGGCAGAAGAUCAGGGCAAGCAAGUCUCUUCCAAGACCCUGAAAGUCAUUUUCCUCCUGCACAGUUUUGACGUUCCGCCUCCCCGUUUGUUCUGAGCUGUAAUAGAAUCCUCUUGCUCUAAUUGCAGUCCAACGGAGACAGACAAUGCGUGUGCUUAUUUAUUAAACGCUACAAAGACUGGGAUGAAAAUUAAGAACAGAAUCAAAUCAAAGGCUUAGAUAUUUUAUCAUGCAUACCAUCACCCACAUAGCACAGGUCUGCCAACUGAGAGGGAAAAAAGGAUGAAAGUGCGGGAAGGGACAGAGAAGAUGGUGAGAAGAGAGGAGAGCUUUCUUGCUGAACUGGCCCUUCUCUGCACUCUGCUGACAAUAUUUGAAGACAGUAGAACACAGAAAGAGAGCAGAAGAAAUGCCUAUCUCGGAGUUGACCAGAUGGCUCAGUGGUAAAGGGCUCACUGUAAAAGCCUGAUGACCUGAGUUUGGUCCCUGAGACCCAUGUAAGGUGAAUCACAAUCUGAGCUCUGUGCAUGGACAUCUACAUACAUGACUUGCACAAACAUACACACAAUAUAAUACAUUUUAAGUACAUCUCUCAUCAGUCAAUACAUUGGGUGCCUACCUAUUAUACAAGGGUUGGG
rnacentral:lncRNA from 1 species